AUGAGGAUUAUUUUGGGGGGAAAUACAGUGAAACUUAUUUACAGCAAUUUGAUGUAAACCAAGUCUUAUGGAGUUGAGCAAAGUGUGCGCGUUAUGUGGACUAAGGGCAUGAACACAGGAACCUUAAUGUUAAUAUCGAAAAUUUGAAAGCUGUUGAAAACAACUGACAUUAUGCUAAACAAUUAAAAAACAAGGAAAGCAACAAUACCAACAAGUCACUGGGAGGGUGGCAAGUUGCCUUCUUAUAUGUAAGCUGUCCUAGUAUGAGCAUUGAGAAACAGCCUGAUAAAAAUAACAACUAGCUCAAAAGCAGAAGGACAAUGGACAUGGGAGACUAAAAAGUAGAAUGUCAGCCAUACCAUUUACAUGAACCCUACCAAAAUCAAAGUUUUGAAAGAAUAUGUGAGAGAAGUAUUUUUAGUGAUGCAAUUACCGAAAAGAUUCAAGGAAGAUCUGAGCUACUCUAGAAACUUUUCAAGGAACUACCUGUACACAAGAGUGAAAACGUGGACUGUAAAUCAAAAAGUUUAACUUAUUAUAUUAAGUGGAAGACAAACAUUAGGAAAAUAAAAAGAUAUUCUGGAUGUGAUAUCUGUAUUAUGAUGUGUUUAAAAAGGGAAAUACACAGGAAUUAUGUUGUAAGUCUGGCCACUAAUUUAUAAAUGAAAUGAAGGCAAUGAUUCCACCCCAUCCGGUGCUAAUUUAAAAGGACUUAGUCAUUGGAUUCAAAAGCAUAAAUCAUCAGAAGUGUUCAUCUUUACCCUAAAGCGGAUUCUUUUUUUGUUUUAAGGCGGAUUCCUUUUUGUUUUAAGGCGGAUUUUUAUUACCCGGAAUACGCUUAAUCUCAUUUAAAUAUUUCGAGCCAUAUACCGCCCGGAAUCCACCUGGACUCCACCCUGAAUCUGUGAUAUUAGUUAUACAUUCAGAGGAAUGAAAGACGGAAUCCGCCUUUCAAAUUUCGCCUACAUUCCGCCUUAAGUCAGGGUGGAAUUUUUCGUACGGGCAUCAUGAAUUGCUGACGUCAUUAUAGUACGCAUUUACAUCAUCAAUCAAAGCAGAAGAUUUUACCCACCCUCUAUAACUAGCAUUUUCGGUUAUUGAAUGUAAAAUGUUUCAUAUAAUUGUGAUUUUGUUACACCUUUUCUGCUGUUAGAUUUGUUGUAUUUACAGGUUGUGUUGCUUUUGAUCUUGCUGAGUAAAUGUACUGUCUUCAUCAAUCCCAUCGUCAUGGCCGUUUUUUUCGCAUCUUCUUCACAAAAGUCUAAGACGACUCAAAGUGUGGAUGCGGCUUUUAGGCUUACCAGUAGUAUCAUUGGACUUGGUUAUAACUAAUAUGUGCUUAUCUUGACAGUAUGUAAUUGUGAACAUCUGUUCUCAGGGUUCACCAUUUUUGCAUUUUUAGGGAUGCCAUACAAGGCUAUAUAUUGAUGCCGCGGCUCCCUCACUUAAACGGCCAUGGCCCAUUCAGCCAAUAAAAAGAAUUCAGUAUG
rnacentral:misc_RNA from 1 species